GUCCAGACUCCUACGGGAGGCAGCAGUGAGGAAUAUUGGUCAAUGGGCUUACGCCUGAACCAGCCAAGUCGCGUGAGGGAUGACGGUCCUAUGGAUUGUAAACCUCUUUUGUCAGGGAGCAAAGGGCGCCACGUGUGGCGUUUUGCGAGUACCUGAAGAAAAAGCAUCGGCUAACUCCGUGCCAGCAGCCGCGGUAAUACGGAGGAUGCGAGCGUUAUCCGGAUUUAUUGGGUUUAAAGGGUGCGUAGGCGGAAGGUUAAGUCAGCGGUCAAAUGUCGGUGCUCAACACCGGCCUGCCGUUGAAACUGGUCUUCUUGAGUGAGCGAGAAGUAUGCGGAAUGCGCGGUGUAGCGGUGAAAUGCAUAGAUAUCGCGCAGAACUCCGAUUGCGAAGGCAGCAUGCCGGCUCCACACUGACGCUGAGGCACGAAAGCGUGGGUAUCGAACAGGAUUAGAUACCCUUGUACC
rnacentral:rRNA from 1 species